rnacentral:rRNA from 1 species
UUCGGAAGGGAUGGUUUAUUAGAUAAAAACCAAUGCCCUUCGGGCUUUUUGGUGAUUCAUGAUAACUUUACGGAUCGCAUAGCCUUGCGCUGGCGACGGUUCAUUCAAAUUUCUGCCCUAUCAACUUUCGAUGGUAAGGUAUUGGCUUACCAUGGUUUCAACGGGUAACGGGGAAUUAGGGUUCGAUUCCGGAGAGGGAGCCUGAGAAACGGCUACCACAUCCAAGGAAGGCAGCAGGCGCGCAAAUUACCCAAUCCCGACACGGGGAGGUAGUGACAAUAAAUACUGAUACAGGGCUCUUUUGGGUCUUGUAAUUGGAAUGAGUACAAUUUAAACCUCUUAACGAGGAACAAUUGGAGGGCAAGUCUGGUGCCAGCAGCCGCGGUAAUUCCAGCUCCAAUAGCGUAUAUUAAAGUUGUUGCAGUUAAAAAGCUCGUAGUUGAAACUUGGGCCUGGCUGGCGGGUCCGCCUCACCGCGUGCACUCGUCCGGCCGGGCCUUCCUUCUGAAGAACCUCAUGCCCUUCACUGGGCGUGCUGGGGAAUCAGGACUUUUACUUUGAAAAAAUUAGAGUGUUCAAAGCAGGCCUUUGCUCGAAUACGUUAGCAUGGAAUAAUAAAAUAGGGCGUGCGUUUCUAUUUUGUUGGUUUCUAGAGACGCCGCAAUGAUUAACAGGAACAGUCGGGGGCAUCAGUAUUCAGUUGUCAGAGGUGAAAUUCUUGGAUUUACUGAAGACUAACUACUGCGAAAGCAUUUGCCAAGGAUGUUUUCAUUAAUCAGUGAACGAAAGUUAGGGGAUCGAAGACGAUCAGAUACCGUCGUAGUCUUAACCGUAAACUAUGCCGACUAGGGAUCGGGCGAUGUUCUUUUUCUGACUCGCUCGGCACCUUACGAGAAAUCAAAG